AGCGAACGCUGGCGGCAGGCUUAACACAUGCAAGUCGAGCGGGCGUAGCAAUACGUCAGCGGCAGACGGGUGAGUAACGCGUGGGAACAUACCUUUUGGUUCGGAACAACACAGGGAAACUUGUGCUAAUACCGGAUAAGCCCUUACGGGGAAAGAUUUAUCGCCGAAAGAUUGGCCCGCGUCUGAUUAGCUAGUUGGUGAGGUAAUGGCUCACCAAGGCGACGAUCAGUAGCNGGUCUGAGAGGAUGAUCAGCCACAUUGGGACUGAGACACGGCCCAAACUCCUACGGGAGGCAGCAGUGGGAAUAUUGGACAAUGGGCGCAAGCCUGAUCCAG
rnacentral:rRNA from 1 species